AACGAACGCUGGCGGCGCGCUUAACACAUGCAAGUCGAACGGUCCCGAUAAAGCCGUAAGGUGAUAUCGGGGUAGUGGCAAACGGGUGAGUAACACGUGGAUAAUCUACCUUUGAGUGGGGGAUAACUCUGCGAAAGUGGAGCUAAUACCGCGAAGACUACAGAAUCGCAUGAUUCAGUAGUAAAAGGUUUUCGAUUUUCGGAGGUCGCUCAGGGAUGAGUCCGUGCCUGAUUAGCUAGUUGGUAGGGUAAUAGCCUACCAAGGCAACGAUCAGUAGCCGGCCUGAAAGGGUGUUCGGCCACACUGGAAUUGAGAUACGGUCCAGACUCCUACGGGAGGCAGCAGUGGGGAAUCUUGCGCAAUGGGGGAAACCCUGACGCAGUGACGCCGCGUGAACGAUGAAGUCCUUCGGGAUGUAAAGUUCUGUCAGGCGGGAAGAACUCCCUCGAUUGCAUCGAGGGAAUGACGGUACCGCCAGAGGAAGCACUGGCUAAUUCCGUGCCAGCAGCCGCGGUAACACGGAGAGUGCAAGCGUUGUUCGGAAUUACUAGGCGUAAGGAGCGUGUAGGUGGUUAGCUAAGUCGGAUGUGAAAAUUCCAAGCUCAACUUGGAACGUGCAUUCGAAACUGGUUAACUUGAGUGUAGGAGAGGAGAGCGGAAUUCCCAGUGUAGCGGUGAAAUGCGUAGAUAUUAGGAAGAACACCGGUGGCGAAGGCGGCUCUCUGGCCUAAAACUGACACUGAGACGCGAAAGCGUGGGUAGCGAACAGGAUUAGAUACCCUGGUAGUCCACGCCGUAAACGAUGGGCAUUAGGUGUAGGAGGUAUCCAAUCCUUCUGUGCCGAAGUUAACGCAUUAAAUGCCCCGCCUGGGGAGACGACCGCAAGGUU
rnacentral:rRNA from 1 species